rnacentral:tRNA from 1 species
GCCCAGCCAGUAUGGUGGAUAUGACCCUCGGUUUGUAACCGAGUGGGUUUGGGUUCGACUCCCGAGUAGGGCA